GAUGAAGACGUAGCGAAAUGCGAUAAGUAGUGUGAAUUGCAGAAUUCAGUGAAUCAUCGAAUCUUUGAACGCACAUUGCGCCCUUUGGUAUUCCUUAGGGCAUGCCUGUUCGAGCGUCAUUUAAACCUUCAAGCUAAGCUUGGUGUUGGGUGACUGUCCGCUUCACGGCGGACUCGCCUCAAAAUUAUUGGCGGCCGGUACAUUGGCUUCGAGCGCAGCAGAAACGCGAACUCGGGCCCGUCGUAUUGGCUCCCAGAAGCUAUCUUCACAAUUUUGACCUCGGAUCAGGUAGGGAUACCCGCUGAACUUAAGCAUAUCAAUAAGCGGAGGA
rnacentral:misc_RNA from 1 species